UAUAAAGGAAUAGAUUGCAUUAGUGCUGGGCGGUAUGACCAAAAAUGUAUAUCACGGUAUUUUUCUAAAUUAUAUCGGUUUCACGGUAUUUGACAGUAUUUUUUUCUUUUCAAGCACAACUUGGUGUUUGCCUUAUUUUCUUAUGAUUUAGAGAAUAAUUACUGCAAUAAAAUGGCUU